rnacentral:rRNA from 1 species
GUCAGCUCGUGUCGUGAGAUGUUGGGUUAAGUCCCGCAACGAGCGCAACCCUCGUUCUAUGUUGCCAGCACGUGAUGGUGGGGACUCAUAGGAGACUGCCGGGGUCAACUCGGAGGAAGGUGGGGAUGACGUCAAAUCAUCAUGCCCCUUAUGUCUUGGGCUUCACGCAUGCUACAAUGGCCGGUACAAAGGGUUGCGAUACUGUGAGGUGGAGCUAAUCCCAAAAAGCCGGUCUCAGUUCGGAUUGAGGUCUGCAACUCGACCUCAUGAAGUCGGAGUCGCUAGUAAUCGCAGAUCAGCAACGCUGCGGUGAAUACGUUCCCGGGCCUUGUACACACCGCCCGUCAAGUCACGAAAGUUGGUAACACCCGAAGCCGGUGGCCUAACCCCUUGUGGGAGGAG